rnacentral:lncRNA from 1 species
CGACGCAUUCCGACCUAACCAGCUUAACUCUCCUACUUUCUACGGGCUAUUGUUGCUUCAGCCAAAAGUGAAGAGUUCCCUAAGCAAAUUUUGAUUCCAAAGAAACCGAUGCAUACCGACCUAACCGGCUUAACUCCCCGACUUUCUAUGCGUUAUUGUUGCUUUGACUAAGAGUUAAGAGUUUCCUACGCAAGUUCUGAUUCUCGAGGAACCCGAUGCAUUCUAACAUAAAUGGCUUAACUCCCGUACUUUCUACGGGCUAUUGUGGCUUCGGCCGAGAGUGAAGAGUUGUCGAAGAAGUUAUGAUCCCAAAGAACCCGAUGCAUUUUAACCUAACCAGCUUAAUUCUCCUACUUUCUACGAGCUAUUGUGGCUUCAAUCGAGAGUCAAGAGUUCCCGACACAAGUUCUGAUCCCAAAGAUUUCCUUGUGCAAGUUCGGAUAUCUAAAGAACCAAACAUGCAUUCUGACCUAACUGGCUUAACUCUUCUACUUUCAACCGG